rnacentral:rRNA from 1 species
CGCGCAAAUUACCCACUCCCAGUACGGGGAGGUGGUGACGAAAAAUACCGAUGCGGGACUCCUUAACGAGGCUCCGUAAUCGGAAUGAGUGAACUCUAAAUCCUUUCACGAGGAUCAAUUGGAGGGCAAGUCUGGUGCCAGCAGCCGCGGUAACUCCAGCUCCAAUAGCGUAUAUCAAAGUUGCUGCAGUUAAAAAGCUCGUAGUUGGAUCUCGGUAUCACUGUUGCCUGUCAGCCUUGUGCGGCACGGUUAUGGGUGCAUGGGCGUGACCUGUGUUCCCGUAGCUAGUCGUUGCAAGUUGGCGUGGUGUCGGUGUCACCUUUCAGCCAUGUCUGUGGUGAAAUACCCGCAGGUGUAGGCGAGUGUCACGCGGUGCUCUGCGACAGCAAAGGUCCGUCGGCUCGUUUGCAUGCCUUUGGAUGCCCUUCAAAAGGUGUCUGUGGGCGGAUGGCACGUUUACUUUGAACAAAUUUGAGUGCUCAAACCAGCCGAUGUUUGCCUGAAAAGUUUUGCAUUAAUGGAAUAGGACUUCGGUUCCUAUUUCGUUUGGUUUUCGGAAUCCGAAGU